AGACCCGAAACCCGGUGAUCUAGCCAUGGGCAGGUUGAAGGUUGGGUAACACUAACUGGAGGACCGAACCGACUAAUGUUGAAAAAUUAGCGGAUGACCUGUGGCUGGGGGUGAAAGGCCAAUCAAACCGGGAGAUAGCUGGUUCUCCCCGAAAGCUAUUUAGGUAGCGCCUCGUGAAUUCAUCUCCGGGGGUAGAGCACUGUUUCGGCUAGGGGGCCAUCCCGGCUUACCAACCCGAUGCAAACUGCGAAUACCGGAGAAUGUUAUCACGGGAGACACACGGCGGGUGCUAACGUCCGUCGUGAAGAGGGAAACAACCCAGACCGCCAGCUAAGGUCCCAAAGUCAUGGUUAAGUGGGAAACGAUGUGGGAAGGCCCAGACAGCCAGGAUGUUGGCUUAGAAGCAGCCAUCAUUUAAAGAAAGCGUAAUAGCUCACUGGUCGAGUCGGCCUGCGCGGAAGAUGUAACGGGGCUAAACCAUGCACCGAAGCUGCGGCAGCGAACGU
rnacentral:rRNA from 4 species